rnacentral:rRNA from 1 species
UACAGAGGAGCCAAGCGUUGUCCGGAUUGACUGGGCGUAAAGCGCACGCAGGCGGAUGCGCGCGUGGGGUGUGAAAUCUGGCCGCUUAACGGCCAGGCGCCAUCCCAUACGGCGCGUCUGGAGUGAUGCAGAGGUCGGUGGAAUUGCCGGUGUAGCGGUGAAAUGCGUAGAGAUCGGGAAGAAGGCCGGUGGCGAAGGCGGCGCUCUGGAACAUUUCUGACGCUGAGGCUCGAAAGCGUGGGGAGCAAACAGG